GUGAAUCAUCAAAUUUUUGAACGCAAAUAGCACUCUCCUCGGAGAGUAUGCCUGUUUGAGGGGCAGCCUAUAAAAAAUCGACGUCGUUGCUGUUUCGCGGUGGCGUUCGUCGGAAAUUGGGUUAUCUUUAAUCCGUUUGGGUGUUAAGCGACUUAAAAUUUUCUUUUUGGUUCCAUGAACGUUUCUAAGAUUUAUUUCUUUACACGUUUAAGGUAUCGAUUUUUAUUAGCCGUGACCAUCAUAUCGGAUCGCGUCCAUAAUCUUUCAUUAACUGACCUCAGACAGGUAAGACUACCCG
rnacentral:misc_RNA from 1 species